rnacentral:rRNA from 1 species
GAUGAACGCUGGCGGCGUGCCUAAUACAUGCAAGUCGAGCGAAUGGAUUAAGAGCUUGCUCUUAUGAAGUUAGCGGCGGACGGGUGAGUAACACGUGGGUAACCUGCCCAUAAGACUGGGAUAACUCCGGGAAACCGGGGCUAAUACCGGAUAACAUUUUGAACCGCAUGGUUCGAAAUUGAAAGGCGGCUUCGGCUGUCACUUAUGGAUGGACCCGCGUCGCAUUAGCUAGUUGGUGAGGUAACGGCUCACCAAGGCAACGAUGCGUAGCCGACCUAGGAGGGUGAUCGGCCACACUGGGACUGAGCCACGGCCCAGACUCCUACGGGAGGAAGCAGUAGGGAAUCUUCCGCAAUGGACGAAAGUCUGACGGAGCAACGCCGCGUGAGUGAUGAAGGCUUUCGGGUCGUAAAACUCUGUUGUUAGGGAAGAACAAGUGCUAGUUGAAUAAGCUGGCACCUUGACGGUACCUAACCAGAAAGCCACGGCUAACUACGUGCCAGCAGCCGCCGUAA